CUUUUCUCUUCGAGCCAAGCCUACAAAGAAACAAAUUCUUUUCUUAUAUGAAUUCUUCACGAGACCAAACUUGUAUUUCGUUCUUUACAAAAUGAUAAAUCCUCGAAAAAGAGAGGGAAAUUGACGGGUGGCUUACUUCGAAAAGAGCGCGAAAUAAAUGACCUUUCAAAUUCGUAACGAUUAACCUCUUUAAGAAUAAAUGAUCGAAUAUUGAAACACAAAGGGAACAUUUCUUUUUUGUAAUUAAUAAUAUUUCUUCGUGCAAGAUGAUUUUCUAUCCGUAAGAGAGAAGAAACAUUUAUUUAAAAAAAAAAAAAAAAGAAGAAACGAUAAAACCUUGUUAAUAUUAUUCUAUUCUUUCUAAUUAUGGUGCAAUCUUGAAAAUAAUUUCGAAAUUGAACGUGAACGUAUUUAAUUUAAUAUCCUUGACAAGGUUAAACGCUUCGAUAACGACUGCAGUGCCACCUUCGAUUUCAAAUAAUUGUAUGAUAAUUAUAUUCGAAUCCGCGCGCGAAAAUAAAAUAUAUUUAAAUAUCAUUUUGACGACGUAAAAAGUCGUGAAAAGAAGAGACAAGACUGACCUUUCGAAAGUUCACAAAUAGAGGAAGAGAAAGAGAGAGAGAGAGAGAGAGAAAUCAAGCGAAGGGAAGUCUGUCUGUAUAUCUGGUUAUAGAGAAGGUCAAAAUCCUCUCAACUCGUGCGUGCUUCACUAUAAUUGUCUAACCUCAAAUUAUUUCUAAAUUAGGAAUGAACGAGCAAAAUUUGUUUUUUUCUGUUUCGAUUUCUUUAUCGAAUACGUAUCUAUAAGUCUUUCUUCUAAUAUUCAUAACGCGUAGAUCCAUUGUAAUCGAGAGUCACGACGUAUUUAAAAUUUAAAUUGAGUUAGAAUAAAAUGAUCGAAUAAAUUGUACGGUGUAAACGACGUCAAUGCUAUAAAUCAGUCACUUUAAUACGCGACACUUUCAAAAAUCAUUUAACUUAUGUUACAAUUAUUAUUGACGAUCUAACAAGAUUCUAUGCAUCAUUAUAUUUGAUAAUCGAUCAUUAGAAAGGCGAUAAAUAUAUCCUGUUAAAAAUUUUUCCUACGUAAACGUAUAUACCUAAUCAAAUAGGAUUAUCAAACAAACGCGUAAAAUUUGUAAAAAUUUAUCGUAAUGAUCGUGAAAAUAACCGAGGAAACAUCAUUUCUUAAGUUAUAGUAAAUGUCUUGCACUUGCAACUAAGGAAGCUUUUUAACGUAAAGUGAAUUUCUUGAUUCGCCCUAAAUGGAUACUGACUUGACUCCCUUCUUCUUCUUCUUUCUUCUCUUCCUCCUCCUCCUUCUCUUCUUUUUCUUCUUCUCUGUCUCUCCCCACCCUUUCUAACUUUUUUUCUCAUUCACUAUGCUUUUCCUUAUAUUCGUUUUCUUCGGUAUAUAAACCUCUCUUUCUCUUUAUUACUCUAAAGAUCUUUACAAAGUUUCUACUAUGUCUUUUCGACAUAAUAGUAUAAUAUUCUUGGUACUCGUAAGCGCGUGCCACGUAGGCGCCACAAGAAACGAGUACCCGACGGUAUUCGCGUAAUGCACGCACUGAAGAAGAAAACGGACACGACCCUCCGAGAGAAGAAAAGAGAAGAGAAUGAGAGAAAGAGAGAGAUAGAUACAUAGAUAGAUAGAUAGAUAGAGAGAGAGAGAGAGAGAGAGAGAGAGAGAGAGAGAGUCAGAAGAUGUUAGGUACAUUCACCGAUUCCACUAUACCGAUCCUUGCCGUCCGAAUAGAAUUGCAUCGAGAUCGGUUGAGAACCCUCACCCUUUUUCCUACUAUACGUUCAAGAAUGGAGGGGGUAAUCUUUUCAAGACGCGUUACUCACAACCAGAAGACGAUUAGUGAAUCUCUUCGAUGGACUUCUCGGCGGAAAAGGUCUUACGACCCUUCGCAACAAUUUUCUUUACUUUCAUACACUCACCAGACUGGAAAAAAGUUCCAAUCGAUUUUACGCAAAUAUAUUUAGUUAGACACGCAAUGUAAAGGGUGUUCUCCCUCUCCUUUCCUAUCUCCCCUCCUCUCUCUCUCUCUCUCUCUCUCUCUCUCUCUCUCUCUCUCUCUCUCUCUCUCUCUCUAAAUUGAAUAUAUUUUUUAACACAACAAUUUAAUCGAUUGGAACAAUCUACAAAAAUGUUGUUUACUUUUUACAUGAUAUUUUAGAGCACCCUUAUAUACCAUGGUCACUUUGUUGACACGCCACUGAUGACUGCAGUCAGAGUGCAUGAGGCCCAUGUAAGAGUAUGCGAGGAGUUUGUGUCGAGGAGAGGGGCGAAAUGGACGGAUAAGAGAAAGGUGAAUACAUUCAGGUAUAUAGAGAGGAAAAGAGAGAGAAGAUGUACAGCGAAGGCGGACGAGUUUCGAAUUGACCUAGCAACUUGCUCUUCUCGUUCAACUAUACACGAAAUCUUAUGAGUCUAACGUGGAAACUGUUUCAAGUCUCCUUUCUAAGAGAUCAGAAUCCAAACGAUGUUUACAAAGAUAUUGACCUUCCAAAAAGAGAACUGGUAUUUCAUAUCGAUAUAAUUUAAGAUACGCUUCGUUUCCCAAGGCCGUAAUAUCAACUUCUUCCAAUUGAUAUCGAUUAGCGAAACGUAAGUGCAAUUCAUCCUUUAAGAUGUCGCAAAGAGGACAAGGAUGCUUCGUAUAUAGCGUUAGUUUUGGCGGAGUUGAAACCGAGUGAUACCUAAGGAAUGAUAAUAAAUCCAUCUACCCAUGAAACUAUCUUUAUUAUCAAAUAUUUGAUUGUGACAAAUAUUUAACAAUAAAUUAUGAUAUUUUAUCACCA